CACCUCGAAUAACAGGAUUAAAAUUGUAAUUUUCCAAUAUCAAGUAAUCGCCCAUCUUGGGGCCGAAUGGAUACUUCAACCGAGGACUUGGCAAGUAAUGGCAGAUUAGGCCCUAGCACAGGUCCACUAUGAACAAAGUGUCGUCUUCUCUGUGCCGCCGUCUCCGUACUCUUUUCCUACAGAAGCCCACCUCCGCCACGGCCGUUGAAACCUCCACCGGAGAGGAAAGGAUCCAAAAACUUGUCAACCAAUUCAAGAAAAAAUCAAAUUUCAGCCACUUCCGAGGCCAACGCUUAGUAUACAAGACCACUGUCCGCCGCCUCGCCAAAGGUGGCCACUUCUCUUAUAUUCAUGAGAUUCUCGAUCACCAGAAGCUGUACCCAGAUAUAAAAGAAGAAAACUUCACUGCCCGCCUCAUCUGCCUUUAUGGUCAAGCCAAAAUGCUCGAUCAUGCCCUCCAGUUGUUCGAUCAAAUGCCUCAGUUAAAUUGUCCGCGUACUGUCCUUUCUUUUAAUGCCCUUAUGGCUGCCUGCUUCCCCUCCAAAAGCUUCAGUAAAGUUGUUGAGCUGUUCCAAGAAUUACCUGGUAAACUAUCAGUAAAGCCCAAUAUAAUCUCUUAUACUUCGGUAAUUAGAGCUUUUUGCGAAAUGGGGUCGUUGGAUGCGGCCAUGUCCAUGUUGGAUGAUAUGGAGAAAAAUGAUGUAGAACCCAAUGCGGUUACAUUUAACACUCUCUUGGGUGCGUUCUAUGGCAGCGGUAGAUUUUCGGAGGCGGAAAAUUUAUGGAGUUUGAUGGAAGAGAAGAGGGUCAUUCCUGAUUUGAGGUGUUAUAACUCAAGGCUGCAUGGCAUGGUGAAAGAAAAAUGCUUUUCCGAAGCCAUGGAUGUGUUCAAGGAGUUGGAGGAAAAGGGGCUGAAACCCAACAACUACACUUACAAUAUAGUUAUCAAAGGGUUUGUGAAUGAAGGGAAUUUGGACGAGGUAAAGAAAUGGUAUACAGCAAUGGUUGAAAGCGAAUCUGGUCCGGAUUUUGUCACAUUUAUGACACUUAUUCCCUUUGCUUGUGAUAAUAAUGAUAUUGAUUUUGCAUAUGAGUUGUGCAAGAAGUCUGCUUGCCUAAAGAAUAAGGUUUCUGGUUGGAUUAUCCAGAAAGUGGUCAAUGAGCUAAUUGAGCAAUCAAAAGUUGACAAGGCAAAGGAACUCUUGAAGUUGGGUAGAUCAAAGAGUGGAUUAGUACUUGAUAAGCAAUCGCUAUCAGCAGGUGUUUAGCAUUACCACGAGCUCCUCUUAUGCAAUCUUUUUUGUACUGUGGUCCUUGACAUGAUUGCUUUUUGUGAUUCAACCUCAAGGCAAUUAUUGGCUGCCUCUUGAAGCUUGACAAAGCAUUUUGGAGUUCCCAUGGAGCGCAGACUGAGAUUUUGAAUUGAGUUUCGUGAGUUAAAACUUUUACAUUUAGUAAUUCGUUAAUGCAAUGCUUUCUUGAAUCCUCGCUGCAUAUAACAGUUUCGCUUUUUGUAACUCUUUGAGGUGGAAUUUCAUCAUAUGAAUAUGCCAAUGAUUGAUUGUUAAUAUAUUA